GUGCGUCUGGCUCCCUAUGGGCUGAGUGCCUCCCGCCCGCCAGUCAUGACUCAGUCCUGUCUGGAAGCGGCCCUGCGGCCCACUCCAGGCUUGCUCCAGAGAGAGCUCAGACAGAUGGAAGACCCCACCAAGGCCUACUUUCUGGAGUGUGCUGACUUCUGAAAACUGCCAGAACAUUUCUUUUCAAAGGACUGACUAAUAAUAGGAUCAACUCAGCCCCUGAUGUGUGGCUGCUGCAUUAGAAAGGAAGUAACUUUUGUUGUUGCAAGACUUUGAUGCCCUAAAUGUUAAACAAUGCUACUAGUUUAACUAAUUCACAUACAUGGAACACAUAUUUGAUCAGUAAUGAAACAAAAGUAUUUGAAGUUCUUUCUUUCAGUGUGCUCAGCCACCCCUUCAUUGGGGCACUUCACUUCUUAUUUCCUGUGACUUUCCGGUGCUUUAUAGAAGUGGUGACUGCUUCGUGGAUAUGAGUCCAUCUCCAGAGGGAGCCGCAUUAGGAAAGCCCGGUCUGCCUUGCCACAGUCAGAGGAAUUGCUUCAAUAUAGAAGGUUAAGGAGGGGUCUAGACAGUCUAAGUGGAAAGAUGGAAGCAGGCUGGCUGCUGCCAGACUGUAUUUAGGAGUCCCUGAGGGCUGGGAAGAUUGCUCUGUGGGUAAAGGCACUCACCAUCAGGUCUGAAGGCUUGAGUCCCGCCUGACUUCCAUCCUUGGUACUGACAUGGUAGAAAGAGAGAAAUGACUCUUGGAAGUUGUCCUCUAACCUGAACAUGUAGCCUGUGUCAAGCACAUGCACAUAAACAAACUAGCUAACUAACUAAACUAACUAAACAAACUAACUAAACAAACUAAACUAACUAAACUAACUAAACUAACUAACUUAACUAACUUAACUAACUAACUAAAAGAAUCCCUUAUAGACUAAGGCAAUAAAGUUUGGCCUGGGCCCUAGAUCCUUGACAUGAGGGCUAGAAAAUAUCUCCUCCAAGAGGCCCCAGUAUUCAGAAAGUGAAAUACUAGUUGUAAGUUACUUAGGUGUCCAUGCAGAUGCCAGGGAUGUACUUCAGACCUAAGCAUGAAGGUCCCCUAUGCGCUCAAAUGAGUGUCUGCUUCCUUGUUGUACUUCUAGGAUUUGAACCCAGGGCCU
rnacentral:lncRNA from 1 species